rfam:Dipodomys ordii contig_47691, whole genome shotgun sequence.
GGCGCUGUGGCUCAAGUGGUAGAGCGCUUGACUUGAACUGAAGAGCUGAGGGACAGCGCCC